AGGUCCAUGGACGUGAGGGAAACAGCCCAGAAUCAUCAGCUAAGGUCCCAAAUCAAUACUAAGUGGAAAACGAUGUGGAAUUCUUCAGACAGCUAGGAGGUUGGCUUAGAAGCAGCCAUCCUUUAAAGAGUGCGUAACAGCUCACUAGUCGAAUGAUUCUGCGCGGAAAAUGUACCGGGGCUAAGUAUUGUACCGAAGCUAUGGGUCUAUAUAUAUGUUUACAUAUAUGAUGGGCGGUAGGGGAGCGUUCUAAUCAGCAACGAAGUUAGACCGGAAGGACUAGUGGAGCGUUUAGAAGUGAGAAUGCCGGCGUGAGUAACGAUUGAAGGUGGGAAUCCUUCAUGCCGAUUGACCAAGGUUUCCUGGGCUAGGUUCGUCCACCCAGGGUUAGUCAGGGCCUAAGGCGAGGCCGAAAGGCGUAGUCGAUGGAUAACAGGUUGAUAUUCCUGUACCACCAUGGUGACUGAUGGAAUGACGGAGAAGGCUAAAAUGUCCCAGUGAUUGGUAGUGCUGGGCUAAAUACAAAGAGGGUUGUGUAGGCAAAUCCGCACAGCGUUAACCUUGAAGUAUGAUGGGGAGUGAACAGUUCGCUUAGUAACGAAGCAUUUGACGCCAAACUUUCAAGAAAAGUUUCUAAAGACAUCAUCAUGGUGCCUGUACCGAGAACGGACACACGUGGUCAAGGAGAAUAUCCUAAGGCAAGCGAGAUAACUAUAGCUAAGGAACUCUGCAAAAUAACCCCGUAAGUUAGCGAGAAGGGGAGCUCAUAGCAAUAUGAGUCGCAGUGAAGAGGUCCGGGCGACUGUUUAGCAAAAACACAGCUCUCUGCUAAGUCGUAAGACGAUGUAUAGGGGGUGACGCCUGCCCAGUGCUGGAAGGUUAAGGCGAUUUGUUAGCGUAAGCGAAGCUUUGAACUGAAGCCCCAGUGAACGGCGGCCGUAACAAUAACGGUCCUAAGGUAGCGAAAUUCCUUGUCAGGUAAGUUCUGACCCGCACGAAAGGCGUAACGAUCCGGACGCUGUCUCGGCUAUAGACUCGGUGAAAUCUUAGUACCUGUGAAGAUGCAGGUUACCCGCGAUUAGACGGAAAGACCCCGUGGAGCUUUACUACAACUUGAUAUUGAAUUUUGGUGUAGUUUGUACAGCAUAGGUGGGAGACGUUGAUAUGCAGACGCAAGUAGGCAUGGAGUUACCAUUGGGAUACCACCCUUGCUAUAUUGAAAUUCUAACUUGAAACCAUAAUCUGGUUUAAGGACAGUGUCUGGUGGGUAGUUUGACUGGGGCGUCGCCUCCUAAAAAGUACGGAGGCGCCCAAAGGUACCCUCAAUAUGAAUGGAAAUCAUAUGUAGAGCGCAAAGGUUGAGGUGCUUGACUGCGAUCAAAAACUAACAAACUUUUAAAGCG
rnacentral:rRNA from 1 species